rnacentral:rRNA from 1 species
UUUAUUUAGAGUUUGAUUCUGGCUCAGGACGAACGCUGGCGGCGUGCUUAACACAUGCAAGUCGAGCGGAAUAUGAGAGCU